GCUAUGUGUGUGUUCGUGUGUGUGUCUGAGAUCUCAACCAGUCUUACCAAAACCUGAGAUGCCGGGACCAAGCUGGAUUUCUCCUGGGCUUCCGACCAGCAGAUGCACAGGGAGAGGGAUUCCGCGGUUCCUCCCGUCCGAGAUGAGCCUGGCAGCUGGUUUCUGGCCGCUGUUCAAGAUCACAGCAGGAGCCUAGACGUCUGGGGCCGACGCCCACCCAAGGGACGCCAGAUGUCACUGUCUGAGGGUCUCUUGUGCCCAAGACCACUCAGAUGGACAUAGGAUGGUGGUUCAAGGCUCAGGGUAUUCUUGAAGCUGCCGAAGAAAGGCUGCAGGCGACAAUCGUCCGGUCUCAAGAGCUCCCCUGAAGGGACAGACAGGGAAUGGCUACCUUAAGGAGCAAAAUACUUCCUGCAACAUUCACAGUCACUGGAAGAUGAUUCCUGAUACUACUAAACAGAGCAGCUCCAGAUACGGGUUUGGAUUAUGACAUUUAUCAACCUCCAAAGUUACUCUUUGGCAUGCAAACAGUACAAGUUAGAGACUGUUCUUAUUCAUCAGUGAAAGUCAUGUUUUAAAAGCUAAGAAAUUGUUGCAAUGUGGAUGAGAGCCAUUUCAUGACAUUCAGUCAGCAAGGAGUGGACCAAAACCUCUUUAUCUAUGCCUAAUGUAUCAAGAACAGUUCUGGAGUACCUCCACCUUGAAAACCAUGGGAUAUACCCACAAACACACUAAGGUGAGACCAGAGAAUGAGGGAACAGUUGCAUGCAUGUUUAGAACCAGUUUGUAUUCUCCUUUGAUAUGACUAAGUGAAGAACACAUUUUAAUUUUGCUUUCCCUGCUCCUUCCCAAUUUUGCCUAUUUCUUGCCUUCAAACAGUAGGAUUUUUAGCUCAGGGACUAUUUUUCACUCUGUUUAUGACUGAUUUUUAGCAUAAAAUAUCAUACCUCUGUCAUAGUUAAAAGAGCUAUGACAAUUGUUGUUAACCUACAGAUCUUGAUCUUGAACUCUCAUUAACAAAACAAUGCAAUUAUUAAUGCUAAUAAAAUGAUCCUUCUG